rnacentral:sRNA from 1 species
GCGACGGGGGGGAUCAGUUAUGUGACGUCGGUGGAUGAAUCGGCGGCGAACUUUCCUUUUUCCUGCCGCUGCCUGAAUUGCCGGAUCGACGGAAAAUUCUGGAAGAAUUGGCUUUCCGUCCUCCGAGAGCCAAUGGUGAUAUUGAUCUCAUUCACCUCCGUAUAUUAUUUGACAAUGGCUCAUUGUAUAUAGUGGGAUUAACUUGAUUAAAAAAAAAUAAUAAUAAUAAUAAUAAAAAGGGCUCAAACAUGGUCACAAACGGCGAACGCAUGCGCAGAAGCUAAGAUAGAGCUGUGACACCAAGUUUCAAGACUCGAGUCAGAUACGUUUCAUUCAAUAAGGGGCCGGCAAGGAGAGGAAAGAACUUGGUUCCAACGGAUCAAAAACAAACAUGAUACAGAAAAGCUGUUGAAGUUAUGGAUGGACUCCAUCAACUAGUUGGUUUAAUGUGUUGCAAAUCUUGAACUUUCAAUAGCGAUUGCCAAAACACACAUCUCCACAUAUAUCAAACGUGCUGUCGCAAAUGAAUGACGCAUGUAGGCGUCAAUCGCUCCAUGAGCGCCCUCCUGUUUCCAGCCUAUGCAAUUAUGUUUUGCAUUUUGCAUUUUGGGUUUUGGCUGAGUUC